rnacentral:rRNA from 1 species
GAUGAACGCUGGCGGCGUGCUUAACACAUGCAAGUCGAACGGAGCACUUUUGAAAGAGGAUUCGUCCAAUUGAUAAAGUUGCUUAGUGGCGGACGGGUGAGUAACGCGUGAGGAACCUGCCUCGGAGUGGGGAAUAACAGUUAGAAAUGACUGCUAAUACCGCAUAAUACAGUUGAGUCGCAUGGCUCUGACUGUCAAAGAUUUAUCGCUCUGAGAUGGCCUCGCGUCUGAUUAGCUGGUUGGUGGGGUAACGGCCCACCAAGGCGACGAUCAGUAGCCGGACUGAGAGGUUGGCCGGCCACAUUGGGACUGAGACACGGCCCAG